UACGUAGGGUGCGAGCGUUGUCCGGAAUUACUGGGCGUAAAGAGCUCGUAGGUGGUUUGUCACGUCGUCUGUGAAAUUCCGGGGCUUAACCUCGGGCGAGCAGGCGAUACGGGCAAUACUUGAGUGCUGUAGGGGAGACUGGAAUUCGUGGUGUAGCGGUGAAAUGCGCAGAUAUCAGGAGGAACACCAAUGGCGAAGGCAGGUCUCUGGGCAGUUACUGACGCUGAGGAGCGAAAGCAUGGGUAGCGAACAGGAUUAGA
rnacentral:rRNA from 1 species